CCUACGGGAGGCAGCAGUGAGGAAUAUUGGUCAAUGGCCGGAAGGCUGAACCAGCCAUGCCGCGUGAAGGUCAGUGCCCUAUGGGCGUUAAAAUUCUUUUGUGCGGGAGCAAUAAUGGUCACGUGUGGCCAGACGAGAGUACCGUACGAAUAAGCAUCGGCUAACUCCGUGCCAGCAGCCGCGGUAAUACGGGGGAUGCAAGCGUUAUCCGGAUUUAUUGGGUUUAAAGGGUGCGUAGGCUGUGAGGUAAGUCAGCGGUGAAAUGCCCCCGCUCAACGGGUUGAAGUGCCAUUGAGACUGGCUUGCUGGAAUGAGGAUGCCGUGGGAGGAAUGUGUGGUGUAGCGGUGAAAUGCAUAGAUAUCACACAGAACACCGAUUGCGAAGGCAUAUCACGAAUCCGCGAUUGACGCUGAUACACGAAAGCGUGGGGAUCAAACAGGAUUAGAUACCCUGGUAGUC
rnacentral:rRNA from 1 species